CGUAAAUAUUAGGAAAAUCCCUAGCAAAAUCACUAACAUGGUGACUGAAUGCACUCAAAAAACAAUAUUUUCACUCAUUGAAGAGUACUCGGUCGGAAUUCUGAGAAGGGCAAAAAUUACUCAUUAUCAAAAUUUGACAAGAACCCUUUAUUUUGACAGUUUCAUAUACAGUCCCGAUUCGUUCGUUGGCGGCUCGUUAGAUGGGUUGUCUCGAUAGUUGAAUGUUCACUGGUUGGGGUAAAACCCAACUAAAAAGCACUGUCAAUGUCAAAAUCGAUGUCAAAAAGAGUUUGACGUCUGACCGCCGUCGCAUCGCAGCUCCUACACUCAAAUUAAUUUACUGAUAGAAUCUAAGUGCAGAAAGCACAUAGAUUGAGAACGAGAGAGAGAAAAAUCAUUCUAUGUGCAACACAUGAAAAUUAAAAGUUGCAUUAUUAUAUUUCAUUCUUCCUGUGAUAUAUUUAGAGUGCAGCAACAUAAAAAGCAACCCUGUCAACAUAAAAUCCAAACGCAAGCAUAACAAUCAUGGAACGAACAUGGCGCGCGCAGAAAACACACUUUGUCGUGAAAAAUUUCAUUUUCAUACGUGGUGCUCCGUUGACCGAGUUGCUUGCUGUUAAUGAAGAGAAUUGCACUACAUUGUUUGCCGCUUCGCCACCCUCACCAAGGACGAUUUCGUAAACGAUUUGGGAGCUGCCGGAUACAGCUGCGACUGGAAGCUUGCAGUUGCGACUCACGUGCUAAAAUACCUAAUCCAUUAGUGUUAAGUUCAAGUAUUAAGUUCAAUAAAAUCAGCUUGGUCGUAAAUG